CACGUAGGGUGCAAGCGUUGUCCGGAAUUAUUGGGCGUAAAAGGCUUGUAGGUGGCCACGCCAAGUCGGAUGUGAAAUCUCCCGGCUCAACUGGGAGGGGUCAUUCGAUACUGGCGGGCUCGAGGCCGGUAGGGGGAAGUGGAAUUCCCGGUGUAGUGGUGGAAUGCGUAGAUAUCGGGAGGAACACCAGUGGCGAAGGCGGCUUCCUGGACCGGUUCUGACACUGAGGAGCGAAAGCGUGGGGAGCGAUCCGG
rnacentral:rRNA from 1 species